rnacentral:sRNA from 1 species
GCAGUGUUCAAGACUUUACCGGGGCCGAAGAUUGCAAGGCUGGAACUGGGAGGGGUUAUCAACACACCUCAGGAGAAAAUUUUUAUUGCUGCAGCAUCUGAGAUUAGAGGCUUCACAAAAAGAGGAAAACAGUUCCUCUCCUUUGAAACAAACCUCACUGAAAGCAUUAAAGCUAUGCACAUAUCUGGCUCAGACCUCUUUCUCAGUGCAAGUUACAUCUAUAACCAUUAUUGUGACUGCAAAGACCAACAUUAUUACCUUUCUGGGGAUAAAAUCAAUGAUGUGAUCUGCCUUCCAGUGGAAAGAUUAUCUCGUAUCACACCUGUAUUGGCCUGCCAGGACAGAGUGCUCAGAGUUUUACAGGUUGCUGUUAUUUGUAUUUUUCUAAUUUUUUAUAAUUUAUGUGAAAGAAUAUCAAUGAACAUUAUGUACUUGAGAUAAAUUAGUGGUUACUGUUUUAAGGGCUUUUAUAAACAUGUGGAAACAAUUUUUAAAUAAUUUGACAUAUUAAUUUUUUUAACUUAAGUCAAAUGUGUUCUUUUGUAAGUUUUUAGAGAAGCAUAUUUGGAAGAAAAAGGAUAUUUUUUGCCUCACCAUACACAAUUUCUGAGCUAUUAUCAGAAUGGAGUACUUUGACUACAGAGAACCUUUACCUGCCUUUUUGUUUUGUUUUCUUCUUCCAUCACCUUUAUCUUCCCCAAAAAAUCAAAUUAAAGGAAGAAAUUGGGUUGGAGGGAGGAUGUUAUAUAACUUG